rnacentral:rRNA from 1 species
UACGUAGGUGGCAAGCGUUGUCCGGAUUUACUGGGUGUAAAGGGCGUGCAGCCGGAGAGACAAGUCAGAUGUGAAAUCCACGGGCUCAACCCGUGAACUGCAUUUGAAACUGUUUCCCUUGAGUGUCGGAGAGGUAAUCGGAAUUCCUUGUGUAGCGGUGAAAUGCGUAGAUAUAAGGAAGAACACCAGUGGCGAAGGCGGAUUACUGGACGAUAACUGACGGUGAGGCGCGAAAGCGUGGGGAGCAAACA